GCCACCCUCCACUGAAACAGGCUGUGGAUGGAAGGGCCAGUGUUGGGAAGCAAGUACUGGCCACCACUUUCCAGACCCGUACCUAAGACAACACUGCAAGUCACAGUGACUAUCAAGCGUGUGGGGGAGGAGGAAGAAGGGAAAUAGCCCACUGGCGGAGACCAGGUCUUUCCUGCCCUCCCCAAGCCCAUGGCAAUGGAGGCUGAGUAGCUUAAUCUGCUGAAGGCCCUGCCCCAGCCCCAUGGCUCUGCUUUGAAUAGGAGAGAAGCUGGGGGAGCUGGGGAGGGGGCCACCAAGGUCCUGCAGCCACGUCCAAGAGUCCUCGAGGCAACAAGAGAAACUGCCUUCCAGUCACAGAAAACGAUUACCCGUUCUCAAGUGCGUAAGAAAAAGGAGGAUGUGGCUGUGAGGCAAUCGGCACGCCUUAUGAUGAAGCAGAAGAAGUAGUCCAAGAAGCAGGUGGUUAAAGAGGAGUAUCAGAUCAGAGUUGAGGCCAAGAAGAAAGCAAAAGUCCAGAAGAAGAAUCCAACCUGUGGGGAGGUAAAAGCCAAGCGCCCUGCAGCGGUCCCCUGUGGCAAUACUGGCCGCCGUGGUCAAGCUGGUCCCCGUGGCUGAGCUUGUUCCCUUGGUCAAGCACGCCCCUGGGGUCUUGCUGGCCAAGCCGGGUCCUAUGACAAAGCUGGUCCCCACUCAGCUCAACCACCUGGGAAGCUCCCACAAGGCAAGAAAGGUAUGAAGAAGUACGACCAGAGAGGCAGGCUGAAUCUGAAUGGAGAAGACCUCUGUGACUGCCUGGAAGAAGAUUUCCUGGGCUGCUUCUACCCAUGCCCAGAGUGCCAGUCCACCAACUGUGGGCCCAACUGAUGCCAGACCCAGAAGUAGAUUUACGAGGCCACCGCUAAGGAGAGUGGAAAUGUGGUCAGUAACUUCCCAUUUCCCCAUGCUAAGUAUUAAAGGAGUCUGGAUUCUCCUGGGACUCUUCUCAGAGUCUCCCUUCUGCAGUUUAUGAAGUGG